rnacentral:rRNA from 1 species
AUGUGUAUCCCGAAGAAAGAUGGAGGCAUGGGAUUAAGAGAUUUGCAUGCUUUUAAUUUAGCAAUGUUGGAAAAACAGAGUUGGAGGUUAAUAACCAAUCCCGACACCCUAUGUGCAAGGGUACUUCGAGCUAAAUACUACCCACACGGUAAUUUAUUGAAAGCGAGCCCUAAGAAAGGUUCUUCAUUUACUUGGCGGAGUAUUUUUGCAGGCUUGCAAACAUUCAUGAGAGGACAUAUUUGGAGAGUAGGCUCGGGUAGACAAAAUAAUAUAUGGGAGGAUCAUUGGGUUCCAGGUAGCCCAUCAAGGAAAGUAUUGACAAAUAAGGGACAAUGUAUCCUUCAAACAGUUGAUGAGCUUAUUAAUCCCGUGACAGGAAAUUGGGAUGAAGCUAUUAUUCAUGAUAUUUUCCUUUCACCUGAUGCGGAGAGAAUCCUAAGAAUACCGCCAAGUUCACAUAUGACAGAGGAUUUUGUGGCAUGGCAUAAAAUGAAGUCCUACUCUUUUUCUGUUCGUUCUGCAUACUACGUGGAGUGGGAUCACCAAUUUGGAACCAGAGUUAAAAGCAAUGAUGUCGGCCCAUCAAGAAGUAAUCCUGUUUGGGAAAUUUUGUGGGGUCUGCAUGUACCCAACAAGAUUAAAAUCUUUGGUUGGAAAGCUCUUCAUGGAAUUAUUCCGGGCAUGUGUAUGCUCACUAAUCAUCACAUUCCGGUUUCAGCACAGUGCCCAGUCUGCAAUUAA